rnacentral:misc_RNA from 1 species
GUGAAUCAUCGAAUCUUUGAACGCAAAUUGCGCUUCCUGGUAUCCCGGGAAGUAUGCCUGUUUGAGGGUCAGUAUUAACAAAAAAUCGGUUUGGUUGCAAAUUGUGACGUUUCCGGAGUUUGGGCUAUCUUAACUUUUUUGGUUAAGGGGCUUAAAAUUGACCUUAUUUGCGCAUUUUUGACCUUCCUUAAUUUUUUUUUUAUUCCUCUUUUCUUUAUUCCAAAAUUUUUUUUAAUUCCAU